UACGUAGGCAGCGAGCGUUGUUCGGAAUUACUGGGCGUAAAGAGUGUGUAGGCGGUGCUCUAAGUUUGGUGUGAAAUCUCCCGGCUCAACUGGGAGGGUGCAUCGAAAACUGGAGUGCUCGAGGGUGGGAGAGGGAUGCGGAAUUCCAGGUGUAGCGGUGAAAUGCGUAGAUAUCUGGAGGAACACCGGUGGCGAAGGCGGCAUCCUGGACCGACACUGACGCUGAGGAGCGAAAGCCAGGGGAGCAAACGGG
rnacentral:rRNA from 1 species